AUGCUAACCUCCGAUUACGAUCACAAUAGCUCCCCGUAUCUAUUUCACUGUACCACACCUCUACCUCUUUUCUGCCAAUUCUCUUCGGUCAUCCCUGAAUCUGACUCAAAUUGGAUCCUUAGAGAUGUUGAAAUGUGCAAUUUCAUGGAGAUGGUGAUGACUAUACCUAUCUUGCUUGGUGACAGAGAAGCUUCUGAUUGCUAG